UACGUAGGGGUGCAAGCGUUAAUCGGAAUUACUGGGCGUAAAGCGUGCGCAGGCGGUUUUUGUAAGUCAGAAUGUGAAAAUCCCCGGGCUUAACCUGGGAACUGCGUUUGAAACUACAAGGCUAGAGUGUGGCAGAGGGGGGGUGGAAUUCCACGUGUAGCAGUGAAAUGCGUAGAGAUGUGGAGGAACACCGAUGGCGAAGGCAGCCCCCUGGGUUAACACUGACGCUCAGGCACGAAAGCGUGGGGAGCAAACAGG
rnacentral:rRNA from 1 species